CGCUGGCCUGGGCGCCCCGGCUGCCGCUCCAGGCGUGUCACGCGUCGUCACUCGAGCCCGUGCUGGAGUCCAUCGGCCCAGCAGCCGGUACCCGUCGGACCAGUACGUCUGCGCGGCGUCCACCUCGUCGUCCUCGACCGCUCUCCCAUCGUCGGUUCAUGCGGCUCUUCGCGAUCCACUCUGGGUCGCGGCCAUGCGUGAAGAAUUUGAGGCGCUCCAGCGCAACCAUACUUGGCAGUUGGUGCCCCGCCCCCUGGGCGCCAACGUGAUCAGCGACCGGUGGGUGUUCCGCCGCAAGCUUCGCUCCGACGGCACCCUCGAGCGGUACAAGGCUAGAUGGGUCGUCCGGGGCUUCCGCCAACGCGCCGGAGUCGACUUCACCAACACGUUCGCACCCUCGUCAAGCCCGGCACGAUCCGGUGCGUCCUGCAGCUCGCCGUCUCACGCCAGUGGGAUGUACACCAGCUCGACGUCUCUAACGCGUUCCUGCAUGGGCUGCGUUUUGAUUUUCGGCCGAAAAAAACGAAUUUCGGCCGAAUUUCGGCCAUCUCGCUAGGGCCCGAUAUAUGGGCCUAUCGGCCGAAUAAUUUGGCCCAGUUUGAAUUUUUUCUUGACCGGCCCAGCUUCUAGAGCCUUCCAGCUGAGACAAAACCACGAAACCGAAACAGCCAACCCUAGAAUCGCUCGUUUCCUGUCCCUCCUCCUGUGUGCGGCGCCGCCGCUGCGCACAGGCCACAUCUCCUCGCCCUCCUCCACAUCUCCGGCCAAAGCGCUCACUUCUCCGACCCUCCUUCACAUCUCCUCGCCUCCACCCCAUCCACUUCCUGUCCAAGACUGUGGCAACAGAGCUCGGCGGUUGCGGCCCUUCUCCAAGACUGCAGCGUGGUGCUCGGCGGCUGCGGCAACGGAGCUGAUGGAGCGCGAGCCGACCAGUUCAACGGAGGCGGUAGCACGGGGCAGCGGCAGCAGCAUGGAGGGCGUCCGCUUGACUGGAAAGAGAAAGUAUUUGUUGAUAGUGAGAGUGAGGAUAAUGAUGGGGUGAGUGAGGAUGGGGAAGAUGCUCCAUCCAUGCAUGAUCAGCAAGAGGCGCAAAUGCAAGUGGAAAAAGAGACACAAAUUCAAGUGGAAAAGGACGCACCACCAACAGAUGGCAAUUUGGAGACCCGUAGAUCUGUACGGCUUGUCAAGAAGAAGACCAAGGGUGUCAACAGCCUAUACCCGCUGCUUAGAAAUCUGCUAGCAAAUAUCUUCUUUCUAGUGUUUUAUGAUUCAUGAUAAUUGCUUAGAAAAUUUUAGUUACUUGGAGCUGGUAGUUUCUUAGAUGUAUAAACUUUCUAUCCAUGCCUAGCCUUCGUUGUCAUGUUAAGCAAUGUAUUUAUGUUGUCCUGAAAUGUUACCACUUGACUAUUGUUGCACUAGACACCUCCCUGUUAGUCCAUUUUAUUUCAUUAUGCACAAAGUGGAAGAAGAAAAUUCUGAUGUUGAACUACAUCUAUCCUGAUUCUUUCUUUGUUUUCUCUAUAUGAACUAGAAAUGCCACAUGAAGAACUAAGGAUAUCAAGAAGCUUUUGGAUGUAUACAAGCUUGGAGCUGCUGUUUUAUAGAAAUGACACUUGAAGAAUAACCAAGGAUAUCAAGAAGCUUUUGGAUGUAGGCAUGCUUGGAGCUGCUGUUUCAAUGUCAUGCUUUGAUAGUUGUCUUUUGAAGCUGAUGUUUCUAUGUGUAAUACUUUAAGUCUGUUGGCUGUACCGGACUAUUUAAACUCUGAACUAUGUUGUGAUGGUUGAA